GUCUGAACAGAACAGCGUCGCUUCUCUGAGACAGAGUGGCCAGCGGGCUGUCCUUCACCGUGCAUGCAGUCCACAGCCAGCACAGGCCCCACCAGGCCCAGCCAGGCUGCCCGACCUCAGGCCUAGCCUCUUCCGUCCGGCGCUCUGACAGGCCUGCCCCAGGCGACUGGGUGAGCUGUCUCAGCCAGCAGCCCCGCUGCCUUAGCCGUGAUCUGUCCUUGCCGCAGUGGCCCAGUUGGUGGCCAGGGGACCGUUGGAAAAUGCUGGCUCACGGUGAUCGGAUGGCCCUGGGGACAGCAGGCCACCGGGUCACCUGCAGAAGAGUGGCAGGCGGGCCCAUGUGCUGUCCCCAGUCCUGUCCUGUGACUUGAGGAACCCACAGUCUGGCGCUGGAAGGACAGUGCGGGAGGAGCAGUCCUUUGUCCGGCCGUGUAACACACCACUUUCUACAUGAGUAAAUUACUCUAAAAUUUGUGUGAUUUUUUUUGUGUGUGAUUUUUUUUGGUACCGGGGAUCGAACUCGGGUCCUUGUACUUGCGCAGCAGGCAGCGAAACCACUGAGCUAAAUCCCCGGCCCCUUUUUGUGAUGUUUUUUAACGGAACCAACAUGGCAGGUGUUGCUUUGUAAGACUUUGAUCAGCACAAUGCAUUUAUAGGAAUUUUAUCAGUGUCACAAAUUAUGCUAGAUCCUGAAUGUGCAAAAAAUGCAGUUCUUGGACAUUCAUCAUGUAAAUGUCCUGCCCUACUUUGACCCCAGCCCCGGCCCCAGCUGACUUAGCCAUAGCGUCUCCCCAUAGGCCAAGAAAAUGAGAUCGCUUGAACAGCAUAUUUCCUGGCUAAUUUAUUAAGACGGUUUCUGGGUUAUACAAUAUUCCUGAACCAAAGGUCACUCGCUGGCAAGAGAAAGCAAUCUCCCUUUCAAUAAACAAGGAAAAAAAUGUCAAACUGAAUUCCGAGCUAUUUGACCAUGCUGACCUGGUUUUAGACCUUAUUCUCAUUUCCAUGAGGUCAAGGUGAACUCCAAAUCCCAGGUUGGGUUUAAGGUUUGUUUAAAGUACUGCUGGGGGAAAGAGUCGCUCUCCCAGCCGUCCUGGACGGUGAUGUCAGUCAGGCGAUCCCAGGUGCGGAGGGGAAGAGAGACCCGAGGGGUGUGGCACAGACAGCUGAAGCUGCUCUGGCCACCGCAAGCCCCACGUCAGCCGCGGGUCCCUACUCCUGCAGGAAACGACAUUUUCCCAGGGAUUUUGGAGCUGGGUCAGCCACUGGCCUGAAGUUAUGUGUAAACCCAGGGUCCCCAUGUUCUUCAUGGAGCCACUAACAGCAACCCAAAGAAAAGACUCCAGUAGGCCAGGAAAACGUGUUGCACCCGUGAGGCCGUGCUGGAUUACUGCCACUCCAGUAAAAUAAAGUAUGCGUUCACAG
rnacentral:lncRNA from 1 species